UACGGGGGGUGCGAGCGUUGUCCGGAAUCACUGGGCGUAAAGGGCGCGUAGGUGGCCUGAUAAGGGUGUGGUGAAAGUCCGGGGCUUAACCCCGGAUCUGCCGUGCCGACUGUUAGGCUAGAGUGCUGUAGGGGCAGGCGGAAUUCCGGGUGUAGCGGUGGAAUGCGUAGAGAUCCAGAGGAAGACCGGUGGCGAAGGCGGCCUGCUGGGCAGAUACUGACACUGAGGCGCGACAGCGUGGGGAGCAAACAGG
rnacentral:rRNA from 1 species